UUUUCGUUUUCGGAAACAUCUGAUAAAAUUGGAACGAUACAAAGAAGAUUAGCAUGGCCCCUGUGCAAGGAUGACACGCACAAAUCGAGAAAUGGACCAAAUUUUU
rfam:Zostera marina strain Finnish scaffold_138, whole genome shotgun sequence.